rnacentral:rRNA from 1 species
AUUGAACGCUGGCGGCAUGCCUUACACAUGCAAGUCGGACGGUAACAGGUCUUCGGAUGCUGACGAGUGGCGAACGGGUGAGUAAUGCAUCGGAACGUGCCCAGUAGUGGGGGAUAGCCCGGCGAAAGCCGGAUUAAUACCGCAUACGACCUGAGGGUGAAAGGGGGGGAUCGCAAGACCUCUCGCUAUUGGAGCGGCCGAUGUCAGAUUAGCUAGUUGGUGGGGUAAAGGCCUACCAAGGCAACGAUCUGUCGUUGGUCUGAGAGGACGACCAGCCACACUGGGACUGAGACACGGCCCAGACUCCUACGGGAGGCAGCAGUGGGGAAUUUUGGACAAUGGGCGCAAGCCUGAUCCAGCAAUGCCGCGUGCAGGAAGAAGGCCUUCGGGUUGUAAACUGCUUUUGUCAGGGAAGAAAUCUUCUGGGUUAAUACCUCGGGAGGAUGACGGUACCUGAAGAAUAAGCACCGGCUAACUACGUGCCAGCCGCCGCCGUAAUAC